rnacentral:rRNA from 1 species
AGAGUUUGAUCCUGGCUCAGGAUGAACGCUAGCUACAGGCUUAACACAUGCAGGUCGAGGGGCAGCAUUUCAGUUUGCUUGCAAACUGGAGAUGGCGACCGGCGCACGGGUGAGUAACACGUAUCCAACCUGCCGAUAACUCGGGGAUAGCCUUUCGAAAGAAAGAUUAAUACCCGAUGGCAUAAUUAGACCGCAUGGUCUUAUUAUUAAAGAAUUUCGGUUAUCGAUGGGGAUGCGUUCCAUUAGGCAGUUGGUGAGGUAACGGCUCACCAAACCUUCGAUGGAUAGGGGUUCUGAGAGGAAGGUCCCCCACAUUGGAACUGAGACACGGUCCAAACUCCUACGGGAGGCAGCAGUGAGGAAUAUUGGUCAAUGGACGCGAGUCUGAACCAGCCAAGUAGCGUGAAGGAUGACUGCCCUAUGGGUUGUAAACUUCUUUUAUAUGGGAAUAAAGUUUUCCACGUGUGGAAUUUUGUAUGUACCAUAUGAAUAAGGAUCGGCUAACUCCGUGCCAGCAGCCGCGGUAAUACGGAGGAUCCGAGCGUUAUCCGGAUUUAUUGGGUUUAAAGGGAGCGUAGGUGGACAGUUAAGUCAGUUGUGAAAGUUUGCGGCUCAACCGUAAAAUUGCAGUUGAUACUGGCUGUCUUGAGUACAGUAGAGGUGGGCGGAAUUCGUGGUGUAGCGGUGAAAUGCUUAGAUAUCACGAAGAACUCCGAUUGCGAAGGCAGCUCACUGGACUGCAACUGACACUGAUGCUCGAAAGUGUGGGUAUCAAACAGGAUUAGAUACCCUGGUAGUCCACACAGUAAACGAUGAAUACUCGCUGUUUGCGAUAUACAGUAAGCGGCCAAGCGAAAGCAUUAAGUAUUCCACCUGGGGAGUACGCCGGCAACGGUGAAACUCAAAGGAAUUGACGGGGGCCCGCACAAGCGGAGGAACAUGUGGUUUAAUUCGAUGAUACGCGAGGAACCUUACCCGGGCUUAAAUUGCAUUUGAAUAAUCUGGAAACAGGUUAGCCGCAAGGCAAAUGUGAAGGUGCUGCAUGGUUGUCGUCAGCUCGUGCCGUGAGGUGUCGGCUUAAGUGCCAUGACGAGCGCAACCCUUAUCUUUAGUUACUAACAGGUCAUGCUGAGGACUCUAGAGAGACUGCCGUCGUAAGAUGUGAGGAAGGUGGGGAUGACGUCAAAUCAGCACGGCCCUUACGUCCGGGGCUACACACGUGUUACAAUGGGGGGUACAGAAGGCAGCUACCUGGUGACAGGAUGCUAAUCCCAAAAGCCUCUCUCAGUUCGGAUCGAAGUCUGCAACCCGACUUCGUGAAGCUGGAUUCGCUAGUAAUCGCGCAUCAGCCAUGGCGCGGUGAAUACGUUCCCGGGCCUUGUACACACCGCCCGUCAAGCCAUGAAAGCCGGGGGUACCUGAAGUACGUAACCGCAAGGAGCGUCCUAGGGUAAAACUGGUAAUUGGGGCUAAGUCGUAACAAGGUAGCCG